rnacentral:tRNA from 1 species
AAAAACUGAAGACUGACCCUCUUCUUAGAGUU